rnacentral:rRNA from 1 species
CCUACGGGAGGCAGCAGGGAGGAAUAUUGGUCAAUGGGCGCGAGCCUGAACCAGCCAAGUCGCGUGAGGGAAGACGGUCCUAUGGAUUGUAAACCUCUUUUGUCGGGGAGCAAAAGACGCCACGCGUGGCGUUCCGAGAGUACACGAAGAAAACGCAUCGGCUAACUCCGUGCCAGCAGCCGCGGUAAUACGGAGGAUGAGAGCGUUAUCCGGAUUUCUUGGGGUAAAAGGGUGCGCAGGCGGAAGAUCAAGUCAGCGGUAAAAUUGAGAGGCUCAACCUCUUCGAGCCGUUGAAACUGGUUUUCUUUAGUGAGUGAGAAGUAUGCGGAAUGCGUUGUGUAGCGGUGAAAUGCAUAGAUAUCACGCAGAACUCCGAUUGCGAAGGCAGCAUACCGGCGCUCAACUGACGCUCAUGCACGAAAGUGUGGGUAUCGAACAGGAUUAGAUACCCUUGUAGUC